AAAUAAAAUCUACGACAUGAGUUCCAGCCUCUUAUAGAUGACACGACAACCUUAACAGCACUGCCCACUUCGCAGACAACAUAAUUUUUAUAAACAAAUUUCAAAAGUUUAUUACUUUAUACUCGAUUACUACCUCUGCUCAUUAGUCAUUUCCCCAACUAAUCACUUAAAAAAAAAAUUAAUUUUAAUUUUUCCGAGUGACAGAGAAGUUUCUCCCACUUAUUUGAAAAUUCUGCUGCUAAAAGCUAAUUUAUAUUGGGUAGGUGCUAAUUAGUACUUACCCAAUUCAAGUUCCUUCUUUAAUUUCUCAGUUCAUCGGGAAAAAAAAAACUCUUCUUUAGAUUUUUCAUGAUCUUGAAGGUUAUAAAUUCUUUGAAAGGCUAUUUCUUUUUGUUGUAGUUCGAUCCAGACGGUGAUUUUCCCAUUUGGGUACUCGCAGUUUCAUCUUCUAUUUCCAUUUUUAGAAACAUUUCCACAGAUCUGUCUCAUCUCCUGCUCCAGAUUUGUUAAAGAUUUCAUUUUCUGCUUAAAUCCCACUUCUGGAUUUGAAUUUCGAUAUUUUAUCCAAUUUUGGCGGGGUUUUUCAUUGGGGGGUUUCCAGAUUGAUAGGCUACUUAGUUUACAUUCUUCAAAGUUCAUUUAUUGGGGUGUAUUUUUAGAGAGAGAGAGAGAGAGAGAGAGAGAUGGCAGUGGCUCGGUUGGGCCGCCAAGCAAAACGGCCAGGUGGGUUCUGCAUAAAAAUGACGGCGGUGGCAAUCUUGGGCCUCUGCUUUAUAUUCGUCUGGUCGAUGUUUUCUUUUUCUUCCUCCUCCGUCACCACCCGAAUCGAAAGCUUCGACAACAUUGGGAAGUCGCCUGGAUCAAAGAGCACCAGAGCGAGCACUCCCAGUGGGACCCACCAAGUUGCUAGUAAUGGUGGGGAGGAGAAAAGGGCAAAUGACUCUGCUGUGAGUUCACCUGCCCGUGAGCAUAAAUACGAGAAGGAGAAGAAAGAAGCGGUAAAUGGGAAGAAGGGGAAGGGUAAGAAAAAGUUACCAGAGAGUGUGGCAAAGGGUAAAAAUGUGACCUUGGAAUCCGAGAAUGAAGAUUCGGAGAUUGAAAAGGAAGAUGGGGAUGAAGAAAAGGAGGUGGUGGAUGGAAAGGAAGAAGCUUUGGGUGAUGAGAGUGAAGGAAAUGGGGAAGCAGGGGGAGAGGGGGAUAAUUUGAUGGAGACGAUGGAUAAGGAAUCGGAGGAGGUGAAGCUGGAAGAUGACGGUGGUGAAUCCGAAAAAAGAGGGAAGAAGUAUAAGAUGAAGGGUCCAUUGUUUGAUCCAAAAGCACAUUAUAGUUGGAAACAAUGUAGCACAAGGAGCAAGCAUAAUUACAUUCCUUGUAUUGAUACGGAAGUUGGAUCUGGAAGGCUGCAGUAUAGGCAUACGGAGAGGAGUUGCCCGAAAGUGGAACCUAUGUGUCUUGUACCUCUUCCCCACGAUGGAUACGGCCCUCCAGUCCCCUGGCCUGAGAGCAAGGAGAAGAUAUUGUACAAGAAUGUGGAGCAUCCGAAACUGGCGGCAUUCAUCAAGGAACAUAGUUGGGUGAUGAAGUCUGGAGAAUAUCUGACUUUCCCUCAGAACCAGUCUGAAUUGAAGGGUGGGAUUCUUCACUAUCUUGAGUCCAUUGAAGAGAUGGUACCAGACAUCGAAUGGGGUAAGAAUAUCCGUGUAGUGCUGGAUAUUGGAUGUACAGAUUCCGCCUUUGGGGCUUCUCUUGUUGAUAAGGAUGUAUUAACAUUGGCAUUGGGCUUGAAAGAUGACCUAGUUGACCUAGCUCAAGUUGCCCUCGAACGUGGUUUUCCUGCUUUAGUUAGCCAUUUUCAAAAUAGAAGGCUGCCUUUCCCCAGUGGUGGUUUUGAUGCUGUUCACUGUGGCGGUUGCACCAUUCCUUGGCAUUCAAAUGGGGGUAAGCAUCUUCUAGAGAUGAAUAGGAUUUUAAGGCCAGGCGGAUACUUUGUCUUGUCAACUAAACAUGACAGCUUUGAAGAAGAAGAAGCCAUGGCUAAAUUGACCGCAUCUAUCUGUUGGAAUAUUCUGGCUCAUAAAACUGAAGAAGUCAGUGACGUGGGUGUCAAAAUAUACCAGAAGCCAGACUCAAAUGAUAUAUAUGAUCUGAGGAGGAAGAAAUAUCCACCUUUGUGCAAGGAAAAUGAAAACCCUGAUGCAGCCUGGUACGUUCCCGUGAAGACUUGCUUGCACCCCAUUCCAUCUGCCAUUGAACAGCGUGGCACAGAGUGGCCAGAGGAAUGGCCCAAAAGGCUCGAAAGGUAUCCUGACUGGUUAAGUGAUAAAGAUAAAUUGGAUGCAGACACCAAGCACUGGAAAGCUAUUGUUGAUAAAUCUUAUCUCACUGGACUGGGUAUCGACUGGUCAAAAAUUCGAAAUGUAAUGGACAUGAAAGCCAUCUAUGGAGGAUUUGCUGCAGCCCUCGCACAACAAAAGGUUUGGGUGAUGAAUGUGGUACCUGUCCAUGCACCCGAUACACUUCCUUUCAUAUUUGAACGCGGGCUUGUUGGAACCUACCACGACUGGUGCGAGUCUUUCGGUACUUAUCCCAGAUCAUAUGACCUUUUGCAUUUGGAUCAUCUGUUUUCGCGGCUUAAGAAUAGGUGUAAGCAGCCUGUAUCAAUUGUUGUUGAGAUGGAUCGCUUGUUACGGCCUGGAGGUUGGGCGAUUAUACGUGAGAAAGUUGAGGUACUGGAACCCCUGGAGGGUAUAUUGAAGAGUAUGCAUUGGGAGAUCCGGAUGACUUAUGCUCAGGGAAAGGAGGGUAUCUUAUGCGCCCAGAAAACGUUGUGGCUGCCUUAAAAACGAUAAUGCAGCUUCAUACAAGUCCAUAACAGCACGAAGACCUGCGGCGAAGCCAUGCUUCCUUCGGGUGCUCCAUCCAAUUUUGAGCGUUCUUAUAACCGAUGUUUUUUAUUUACCACUUGAAUUUUAUUGGUGAUGCAGUUGCAGUUGAUGUAGAGGAUGAGCUGAGGAAGUGAGGGUGAAUGAGUCCAGUUCACUAAGAGUGCACAUUAAGAAGGGGAUCUGAACCCAGGUGCAUAAUGGGAAGAACAUUCGCUCUAGCUCAUGUGAUUGUCUACGUCUGCAAAUGAAUAAUUUUCUUUCAGGAGCGAAAUGCUGUAUCCUUGUAUUCCAGAAAGGUUUAUUUGAUUGUUACCCUGGUUCUUGUACGUGUUAUAAUACGAGUCAAUUCAAUUUGACACAAUGUUACUCAUUGAAA